UAUAGAAACACACUCUGCUGAUGCUCUACUCUCAACUACAAAGCUGAAUGCAAUUUUCCCCAACUUGCCCUACAAAUGCAUUGCAAUUCUAACCAAGACACCAACAGGUUUUUUUUAAGCACGUGAUAAGCAAGUCCUAAAAUUUACAGAAGAGCAAAGGGCCAAAAGAUCCUGAAGAACCUGGUAGAGAUCUGCUCUAUCAGGUAUUAAGAAUCAUAAGCUAUAGCAAUUAAGGCAGUAUGGUAUUAGCUCAGGUGCAGACAAAUAAGCCAACACAAUAACAGAGAGAACACAGAAACAGACCCUGGCAUUCAUGGAAACCUGACAGAUCAUGGCUAGUACUGCAAGUCAGUGGGGAAAUGAUAAAAAGUUCCAAUAAAUGGUCUGGGACGCUG